rnacentral:tRNA from 1 species
AGCGCGGUGCUAACGGCAGGCAGCGGGGCCUUGAACCCCGUGGAUGCAGGUUCGAAUCCUGCCCGCGCUU